CGGAGGAUCCAAGCGUUAUCCGGAAUCAUUGGGUUUAAAGGGUCCGUAGGCGGUUUAGUAAGUCAGUGGUGAAAGCCCAUCGCUCAACGGUGGAACGGCCAUUGAUACUGCUAGACUUGAAUUAUUAGGAAGUAACUAGAAUAUGUAGUGUAGCGGUGAAAUGCUUAGAGAUUACAUGGAAUACCAAUUGCGAAGGCAGGUUACUACUAAUGGAUUGACGCUGAUGGACGAAAGCGUGGGUAGCGAACAGGAUUAGAUACCCUGGUAGUCCACGCCGUAAACGAUGGAUACUAGCUGUUCGGAGCAAUCUGAGUGGCUAAGCGAAAGUGAUAAGUAUCCCACUGGGGAGUACGUUCGCAAGAAUG
rnacentral:rRNA from 1 species